rnacentral:tRNA from 2 species
GCGUCCGUAGCUCAGAUGGAUAGAGUACCGGACUUCGAAUCCGUGGGUCGCAGGUUCGAAUCCUGUCGGGCGCG